UACAGGGGGUGCAAACGUUGCUCGGAAUCAUUGGGCGUAAAGCGCACGUAGGCGGUCUGUUAUGUCGGAUGUGAAAGCCCUUGGCUCAACUGAGGAAGUGCAUCCGAAACUGGCAGGCUAGAGUACUAAAGAGGGUCGCGGAAUUCCCGGUGUAGAGGUGAAAUUCGUAGAUAUCGGGAGGAACACCGGUGGCGAAGGCGACUUCCUGGCCUGUUCUUGACGCUGAGGCGCGAAAGCUAGGGUAGCAAACGGG
rnacentral:rRNA from 1 species